rnacentral:rRNA from 1 species
GAUGAACGCUGGCGGCGUGCUUAACACAUGCAAGUCGAACGGAAAGGCCCAAGCUUGCUUGGGUACUCGAGUGGCGAACGGGUGAGUAACACGUGGGUGAUCUGCCCUGCACUUCGGGAUAAGCCUGGGAAACUGGGUCUAAUACCGGAUAGGACGAUGGUUUGGAUGCCAUUGUGGAAAGUUUUUUCGGUGUGGGAUGAGCUCGCGGCCUAUCAGCUUGUUGGUGGGGUAAUGGCCUACCAAGGCGUCGACGGGUAGCCGGCCUGAGAGGGUGUACGGCCACAUUGGGACGGAGAUACGGCCCAGACUCCUACGGGAGGCAGCAGUGGGGAAUAUUGCACAAUGGGCGCAAGCCUGAUGCAGCGACGCCGCGUGGGGGAUGACGGCAUUCGGGUUGUAAACUCCUUUCGCUAGGGACGAAGCGUUUUUGUGACGGUACCUGGAGAAGAAGCACCGGCUAACUACGUG